UACGGAGGGUGCAAGCGUUAUCCGGAUUCAUUGGGCGUAAAGAGCACGCAGGCGGUUUGGCAAGUCGGAUGUGAAAACCCGAAGCUCAACUUCGGGCCUGCAUCCGAAACUGCCCGACUAGAGGUAGGUAGGGGAGAUCGGAAUUCCUGGUGUAGCGGUGAAAUGCGCAGAUAUCAGGAGGAACACCGGUGGCGAAGGCGGAUCUCUGGGCCUUACCUGACGCUCAGGUGCGAAAGCUAGGGGAGCGAACAGG
rnacentral:rRNA from 1 species